AGGUUACAGCAGGUUUGUUCAUAGUAACAGAGGAACUAGUCAAUUCUCUGCUUGAUGUAAAACAAUAAAAUACUAUAAUUCUAGGACUCCUUGGCUAACUGCUGAUUAAAGUAAUACACACUCUAAGGAUAUCAGUUGAGGAAGACAGGUUUAGCUGAAUCAACAUGUCUCCAAACAAAAAUAGGCGUUCAGAACCUAUACCGAUUAAAAAAUCUCUUCUUAGAUUUCCUCUUAGAACAUCCCUGACUCCAAGAGUGCAUACUCCAACCAAACUGAAGUCACCAAAGGCAACGUCACCAGCAUUUAAGAGACUUUGUGAUUCACCCAAAACUCUGGCUUCCAAAAUUACUUCAGCAGCAGUGAGCAAUGCAUCAGACAACUCUACAAAGUCCCCAUUGCGAGCUAGAAUCGCUUCUUCUCCGAUAGCUCCACAAAACCAUUCUCCGUCUGAUCAUAAAGAUGAUGUGAUGAGACGGAUUUGUCAAAUGUAUAGUCUUCACUAACAGAGACUACUUUUACACUCCAUUUCAUCUCUGGUUCCACUUCUUCAUUACAAGAUACUUGUCAACUGGUUCAGUGAAGAAAAUGUCAAGCUAAGUAUUGCACAUCACAGUUCUUCGGAGUUUCCCAUCUUCACUUAUGUUAGCUCUAUUUUAAAUCACUGCAGUUGUCUGUUCAAAAUUAUUAAUUUAUUUCAUUGUUGUAGUAUUUAAGCUGUCUAAUUUAAAUUCUAUGCAUUUUUAUUUUUGUUCCAAUAGUUUCAAUAUAAUACAUCUCUAUUACAAUCAUUUCAAAGUAGAAUAUUAAAAUAAUAAAUACUUUUUAUUCAUAAGAAAAUCUACAUUAGUUCACUUACAGGUGGUCAUGGACAGCUAAUAGUCAUUAAUUAGGUUAUGAUAAAUAGCUAUUAAAGUAUAGUUUGAUAUCUUUCUAUUCUGGAUACAAUACUAACCUCAAUGUAUUUUUCACACAUUUCAUACAAUAUUUAAAAGUUAUUUGGUGGUAAAAAAAUGUUUAGAACAAUAUAUGUUCCUAAAAUAAAUAUUAUUUUUUGUGAUUUUAUUUAUUGUUUCUUGUUUGAUUGUAUUGUUUAUUAUUUUAAGCUAAGUUUAUUUUAUUUGUUAAGGUCUUUAGCAGACCAGAUGUUUCUUCCUAGAUUAAGUAUUGAGGGUUUUGGCACGUUAAUGUACAACAGAAAAAAAAAACUAUUUGAACGAAAACAAUAUAUUUCCACUCAAGCGCUAAUUGUACUUUAUUUCUAGUAACUUUAAGUCAGUAAACAUAUUUUAAGUGUAGUGUAUUGCCUCCAUUUUUAUAGUAGUUUAAUUGUAUUUUGCUUAAUUGUUAUAAUGUAUAUACUGUAUUGUUUAUUUUUUAAACUAAUUUAAUUGUUGUUAAAGUAUUAAAAGUGUUACAGUAAGAAUUAAGUAAG